rnacentral:rRNA from 1 species
CCUACGGGUGGCAGCAGUGGGGAAUAUUGGGCAAUGGGCGCAAGCCUGACCCAGCAACGCCGCGUGAAGGAAGAAGGCUUUCGGGUUGUAAACUUCUUUUGUCAGGGAAGAGUAGAAGACGGUACCUGACGAAUAAGCCACGGCUAACUACGUGCCAGCAGCCGCGGUAAUACGUAGGUGGCAAGCGUUGUCCGGAUUUACUGGGUGUAAAGGGCGUGUAGCCGGGUUGACAAGUCAGAUGUGAAAUCCUGCGGCUUAACCGCAGAACUGCAUUUGAAACUGUUUUUCUUGAGUACUGGAGAGGCAGACGGAAUUCCUAGUGUAGCGGUGAAAUGCGUAGAUAUUAGGAGGAACACCAGUGGCGAAGGCGGUCUGCUGGACAGCAACUGACGCUGAGGCGCGAAAGCGUGGGGAGCAAACAGGAUUAGAUACCCCAGUAGUC